rnacentral:rRNA from 1 species
UACGUAGGGUGCAAGCGUUGUCCGGAAUUAUUGGGCGUAAAGAGCUCGUAGGCGGCUUGUCACGUCGGCUGUGAAAACCCGGGGCUCAACCCCGGGCCUGCAGUCGAUACGGGCUAGCUAGAGUUCGGCAGGGGAGACUGGAAUUCCUGGUGUAGCGGUGAAAUGCGCAGAUAUCAGGAGGAACACCGGUGGCGAAAGCGGGUCUCUGGGCAGUAACUGACGCUGAGGAGCGAAAGCGUGGGGAGCGAACAGG